AUUGAACGCUGGCGGCAUGCUUUACACAUGCAAGUCGAACGGCAGCGCGGGCUUCGGCCUGGCGGCGAGUGGCGAACGGGUGAGUAAUACAUCGGAACGUGCCCAGUAGUGGGGGAUAGCUCGGCGAAAGCCGGAUUAAUACCGUAUACGACCUGAGGGUGAAGGCGGGGGAUCUUCGGACCUCGCGCCAUUGGAGCGGCCGAUGGCAGAUUAGCCAGUUGGUGGGGUAAAGGCCUACCAAGGCGACGAUCUGUAGCUGGUCUGAGAGGACGACCCGCCACACUGGGACUGGGACACGGCCCAGACUCCUACGGGAGGCAGCAGUGGGGAAUUUUGGACAAUGGGCGAAAGCCUGAUCCAGCAAUGCCGCGUGUGUGAUGAAGGCCUUCGGGUUGUAAAGCACUUUUGGCGGGAACGAAAAGGACUGUGCCAAUACCACGGUUCGAUGACGGUACCCGCAGAAUAAGCACCGGCUAACUACGUG
rnacentral:rRNA from 1 species